rnacentral:rRNA from 1 species
UACGGAGGGUGCAAACGUUGCUCGGAAUUAUUGGGCGUAAAGCGCACGUAGGCGGUCGCGUAAGUCGGGUGUGAAAGCCCAGGGCUUAACCCUGGAAGUGCAUUCGAAACUGCGCAGCUUGAGUACGGAAGAGGGUCUCGGAAUUCCCGGUGUAGAGGUGAAAUUCGUAGAUAUCGGGAGGAACACCAGUGGCGAAGGCGGAGACCUGGGCCGAUACUGACGCUGAGGUGCGAAAGCGUGGGGAGCAAACAGG